CCCAGGCCCUAUCAUGGGCCUCCUCUUCUGUUUGCGUUUUGUCAAGAUCUGACAGCUGUGACUGGCUAGCCUCCUCCAGGGUAGGGAAGAGCUCCAGGCU